rnacentral:tRNA from 1 species
GUUUUAAUAGUUUAAAAUAAAACUUUGGUCUUGUAAACCAAAAAUGAGAAAAUUCUCUUAAAACU